GUGGAUUAGUGGCGAACGGGAUGAGUAACACGUUGGGCAAUCUGCCCUUCACUCUGGGACAAGCCCUGGAAACGGGGUCUAAUACCGGAUAAUACUUUCUCUCUCAUGGGGGAAGGUUAAAAGCUCCGGCGGUGAAGGAUGAGCCCGCGGCCUAUCAGCUAGUUGGUGGGGUAAUGGCCUACCAAGGCGACGACGGGUAGCCGGCCUGAGAGGGCGACCGGCCACACUGGGACUGAGACACGGCCCAGACUCCUACGGGAGGCAGCAGUGGGGAAUAUUGCACAAUGGGCGAAAGCCUGAUGCAGCGACGCCGCGUGAGGGAUGACGGCCUUCGGGUUGUAAACCUCUUUCAGCAGGGAAGAAGCGAAAGUGACGGUACCUGCAGAAGAAGCGCCGGCUAACUACGUGCCAGCAGCCGCGGUAAUACGUAGGGCGCAAGCGUUGUCCGGAAUUAUUGGGCGUAAAGAGCUCGUAGGCGGCUUGUUGCGUCCGUUGUGAAAGCCCGGGGCUUAACCCCGGGUCUGCAGUCGAUACUGGCAGGCUAAAGUGUGGUAGGGGAGAUCGGAAUUCCUGGUGUAGCGGUGAAAUGCGCAGAUAUCAGAGGAACACCGGUGGCGAAG
rnacentral:rRNA from 2 species